UACAGAGGUCCCGAGCGUUGUUCGGAUUCAUUGGGCGUAAAGGGUGUGUAGGUGGCGCUGUAAGUCGGGUGUGAAAUUUCGGAGCUUAACUCCGAAACUGCAUUCGAUACUGCGGUGCUUGAGGACUGGAGAGGAGACUGGAAUUCAUGGUGUAGCAGUGAAAUGCGUAGAGAUCAUGAGGAAGACCAGUGGCGAAGGCGGGUCUCUGGACAGUUCCUGACACUGAGGCACGAAGGCCAGGGGAGCAAACGGG
rnacentral:rRNA from 1 species